GUUUUAACGAUAAUAACAAAAUAAAGGGUAAAGUAAAUAGUACCAUAAUUGACUUUUUAGUGUUAAAAUGUGAUUUUCAUUAAAGUGAACAGUACUGUGAACUUUUCGUUAAAGUUCCCUUUGAUUAUAUGUAUGGAAAGUGACACAUCAAAAUUAGGGUUAUUUAUUAUUUUCUUCAUGCGGUCUGAUGGGUCUUUCAAACCUCAAUCAAGGCAUCCACAGUUGGUUUGACUGGUAUAAUUUGAACACUCUGAGAUAAAACCCUCGAGCAACAUAUUAACACGAGGAUACAUUUUGUUUCAUUGAAUUGAGCCUAUAUAAACAGUGGGAGUUUCUCAUGUUUAGUUUAGGGGAAAUUUACCAUAAAGGAAAAAAAAAUCGUUGCAAGGUUUGCGUAAGUUAAUGUGCUUAAAAAUAAAACGAAGAACAUUAUUUAAUAGCAUACUCGAAGAAGUAGUACAACGCGUGACAGCCAAGUUAGAACCGUGGCUAAAUCUUUUAAGAGCAAGCAAAAUAGACGCAGCUAUUUGCUUCUCCACCAAACACUGGAAACCCCAAACAGACUGCAGACACACCAACGAGAGAGAUCGAUAUUGCUCCUAAUUAAAACUAACCAGACAAAUGAUUUCUAAUUAAGGACUUAAAACCAGACCAUUAAACCAAACCCAACUGGACCCCACUGGAGCAAACUGGUCAUCUCUGAGAGUUCAUGGAACAACUGGAGCUGAGCCACCACCUGCACCUAAAGGAAUACCACCGCCGCCAAGAGGAACACCAGGGGUAUUGGUGGGCAGGAGUGGGACUGAGCCAAAACCUGUACCGCCUGUAGGGACACAGCCUCCAGGGAGAGAGCAGAAGCCUGACGGCCCAAACCCUAUCCCAGUAAAGCCUGGUGAGCCUGGGUAGAUACCGCCUACACCGCCGUAAACGUUCUGAGGCUGAGCAACAACCUCCCCCUUUUCGUUGCUCUUGAGCACCCUGCCUCCCUCAACCGGCAUUGCAGCCACCACCAGGAUGGUGGUCAGGAGCAGCGCCAGCUUACUCACUCUCUCCAUGAUCUUAAAAAGAGGAUUCUCAAGAGUAAAAAAGUAAAGAACAAGCUAGGGUUUAUAAGCUCUCUUUCAGCCUCACACGUCACUCACACUGGGAAGUGAAGCAACAUCAGUCUUCUUAUAGCGAAAAAGAUUUCCAUUUGAGGAUGAUCAUAAUUACACUUUUAUCUUGCCAUUUAUGGAGGGAUGGUUGCCUUGCUAAAUGCUGUUGUUACUGUUAUGGGGCUUAAUUAAGGGAAACAUACACCAAUAUAACGGGUAAUAAGCUUUUAAUCAAAAUUAGAACUGCUAGAGUACUCGUGGUCGUGGAUAAGACUUUUUAAAAAUCUCAAUUAGAAAUUGGUAUACUUACAAUACAGAUGGACACUAAAUAGACAAUAACUUGACACUAAAAAGAUACUAAAAUGUUUUUUACUGACUGUUUAGUGCCCUUUGCUCCUAGUAAAAAGUUCUAUUUUUGUCCGUUUAUUAGUAUCCUCAAUUUGAACAAAAGAAAGUUAGUAUCCUCAAUCUUUUCAUUUUAUUUUGUUAAAGUUUAUAACCACUUGUGUAUGCAGCAAAUUUCCCCCUUAAUUAAUUAAUUAGUUAAUCACAAAGAAAAAACUCAACUGAUAUGUAUAGAUUUGAGGUUAGUCCAGUCAUCUAGAGUAGUGAGUUUCUUUCUGUACUCGUAUGUAUUAUCCAAAUUAUCAGCGUAGCCUUUGGGUUCUUGACCAACCAUGCCUUUUUAUUUUUUUAUGAAAAUGCUCGGAGGUUGUUUUUUUUCGUUUUUGUUUUUUUUUUAACAAAUGAUGUUAUCUACACUAAAGGGGAUGGGGUGAGCUUAGCCUCACAAUAAGCUAGCAAUAAUGUGAUUCAAAUUUGCCUUUGGCGAGAAUCGAACUUAAGACCUCUCACUUACAAGUGAAGAGGAAUAUUACUAGACCGUAGUAUUAAGUGGCCGGAUGGUGGUUUUUAACCAUGCUAAAUGACACUAAUUAACCAGCAUAUUAACUUUUGGUAAAUGGAGUAGUUGAUUUUGGAACAGUAAUAAUUUGCAAUGGACGGAGAUGCUAAGGCCACCACCCAUCCCUCCAGUACAAACUGUAGUUACAGUGGAUCUAUAUGUUAUUGGUGUGGAAUUUAUGGUGGUCCAGUUGAGAUGGGUAAGAGCCUUAAAUCGCCGGACAUGCAUUUUCCUUGCACUUUAUUACCUUUCCAGUUUUAACUAAUGUUCUGAUUUAAUUCACAUAUCUACCACACUGCACCCCUGCUAAAUUCCUUGAUAUAUAACAGACUCUGACCAGAAAGUUUUAACUGGUUUAAUGGCUUGUUACAGAAAUUCAAAUUUCACCACCAUCAAACAUUCAUCUUAAUCUUUUUAUCAUGCAAUUUUAAACAUUCUGAUGGCAAAUUUUACACAUGAUCAUCCUGUUAAUCAAGUGAUCACUAUCUUCUUCUUCUUCUUCUUCUUCUUUUUUUUUCCUGAAUUAAUGCCUAGCAAUUGUUAGAUCAAACACAUUCUAUAUCUAUAUAUCAAUCCAUAUGUAUUCGCAGAUAAAAAUUAUCCAUCCAUCCGUCCAUUGAUUUCAGAUUAAAAUCAAAAUACAUUUAUCCAAGUUCAAAUUCAGAUACACAUUCAUUCCUUACCCUAAUACAAAUAUAACAAGUUAGCAUAUACAUCCAUUAAUAAGAGAUAUUCAUUUCGGUGUAAUGCUGGAAUUCGAUGCUUUCUAUCCCUUUCCCUUACUCGUACCGCUCUUAGCUGAGGUGAUCCACAAGAAAUAUAUUUAGGAGUCUUAAUUAGUAUAAUAAGAAGAGAGUUAACAAAGCCAUCCAAGUAGCAAGCUUGGAAAAAACAUUUUAAAAGACAUUAAACUUCCAAGUUUUUUUUCCAACUAUCACAUCCGGAUUGGUUUCAGAUUCCAUCUUCUUCUACAGCCUUAUACCCUCAAACUUAAUCAAUUGAUGCAUCCCUUUAGCAACCAGAGCAAGAACAAGUUUCGGACUCUAUGAGCGGUUCACGACAAUCUAAAGUUUUUCAAAUUCAGUUUCGUGUAGUUCCCACAUGAGAAUUAAUAUUCAACUUCAUGUUUUCUUAUAAGUUUCUGUUGUCAAAGAUGAGUUCUCAGCAUCCUCUCGUGCCAUUCAAAUUUAUACUUGGUAAUAUUGACACGCCCCGACCCCGAUAUUCCCCGAAUAUCAGGAUAGGCACGUGCUGGCUGACACCCGAUGUGACGAAAGCCAUUUAUUGAAUACAAGAGUAAAGAUUAGGAGAAAAUAUAAAUAUAAUUCUCAGAAUGUCUAAAGGAAAUAAACAGUGCUUAAGAAAGUGGCUAGAGUGCACAGAGCAUGUUCUAAUUCGAGAUUUCAAAAGGAAAGACUAUUACAGAUUUCACACAAAGAAAAUGGACGCAACUACUGGUAGGGGAAUGCCUCGUAUAUUGCGUCGUAGUCCUCGUCCCUAAGACCUGAAUGGGGGCGCAAAACAAGGGUGAGUGGACCAAGUUUAUAUACAUACAUAAUACGAAAACAAUUAUAAACAUACUAACCCCCACAGUUAAGAUAAUGAAAACUACUAAAUAAUAAGUGAUAGGUUUCUCAAAACCUCUAGCAUGCCAUAAAAAUAAUUCAUAUAUCUCUCUGCAAAUCAAUCUCAGAAAAUCAUAUCAGAAAUCAUAUCAGGAAGCAUAACACAAGUUGUGCUGCUAGUGAGUGCACUGAAUAACAAUACUUCCGGCCCAAUGCCUGCACCUCAGUCUCUGUGCCGGUAGCCAGAGAUAUCUCCCUCCCAACCCAAUGCUUGUCUCCGUGUCCCUCAGCCUUUCGCUAGGGAUUAUUUCUCCCGGCCUCAAUGCCAACACCAGAUCCUCGCCCCAGGCGGCAUAGUGUUCACUAGGUACGCACAAAACAUAAUUCAUCUCUAAAAUACAACUUCGUAGCAUAAAUUCAUCGAUCCUCUAUACUACGAAGAGGUGUUCAAAAAUCAUUUGAAACAACAUUCUUAGCAUCCUAUCGUCAUCGAUCAGAUAGUUUACCAGAAUGAGGGUUCUAAAGAAAAAUACAAUAUAGUGCAAAUAGUAUAUAUAUAUAUAUAUAUAAUCAAACAUCAUUAAAUCAUCAUGCUUUCUGUAAAGUAUUCCUCAAAUCAAAAAUUAUGCAAGACAUGCUAUUAAAUUAUGCAAUUUUAUCAAUAAAACAUGCAAUUUUUUAAGGUGGUCCACUCACAGAUACUCCGAAGCAGCAGAAUUGUGCGGAAAAUGAUUAAGGAAGUCUCCACUAGCAACUUCACCUAAGCACGAAACUAUACAACUUAAUCAAACUACCCAAUAUAAUUCUAGGAAAUGGAAAUGGGCCUUGGGUUUGGAUAGGUUAGGAUCAAGAGGUGGUUUGGGCUUGAGCCCAAACCCAUACUUGUACACAUUACACACCUACACACACACAGCAUGCAUAAGCAUGCACUUCACACACACACAGAGCAUGCACCGUACCCCACACACACACAUACAUGCACACGGCAUACACUCACACAGCACACGCACACCCACAACAC
rnacentral:lncRNA from 1 species